UACGUAGGGUGCAAGCGUUGUCCGGAAUUAUUGGGCGUAAAGAGCUCGUAGGCGGUCUGUCACGUCGGCUGUGAAAACCCGAGGCUCAACCUCGGGCCUGCAGUCGAUACGGGCAGACUAGAGUUCGGUAGGGGAGACUGGAAUUCCUGGUGUAGCGGUGAAAUGCGCAGAUAUCAAGUGGAACACCAGUGGCGAAGGCGAGUCUCUGGACAUUUCCUGACGCUGAGGCACGAAAGCCAGGGGAGCAAACGGG
rnacentral:rRNA from 1 species